CCUACGGGUGGCAGCAGUGAGGAAUAUUGGUCAAUGGGCGCGAGCCUGAACCAGCCAAGUCGCGUGAGGGAAGACUGUCCUACGGAUUGUAAACUUCUUUUGCCGAGGAGCAAAGUGCGGUACGUGUACCGCAUCGAGAGUACUCGGAGAAUAAGCAUCGGCUAACUCCGUGCCAGCAGCCGCGGUAAUCCGGAGGAUGCGAGCGUUAUCCGGAUUUAUUGGGUUUAAAGGGUGGGCGGGCGGAAGGUAAAGUCAGCGUGAAAAUUGAGAGGCCAAACCUCUUAGUGCCGUUGAAACUGGGUGUCUUGAGUGCGGGAGAGGUAUGCGGAAUGCGUGGUGUAGCGGUGAAAUGCAUAGAUAUCACGAAGAACUCCGAUUGCGAAGGCAGCUUACCGGACUUCAACUGACGCUGAUGCUCGAAAGUGUGGGUAUCGAACAGGAUUAGAUACCCUUGUAGUC
rnacentral:rRNA from 1 species